GAUGAACGCUGGCGGCGUGCCUAAUACAUGCAAGUCGAGCGAACAGACGAGGAGCUUGCUCCUCUGACGUUAGCGGCGGACGGGUGAGUAACACGUGGAUAACCUACCUAUAAGACUGGGAUAACGUCGGGAAACCAGAGCUAAUACCGGAUAAUAUAUUGAACCGCAUGGUUCAAUAGUGAAAGACGGUUUUGCUGUCACUUAUAGAUGGAUCCGCGCCGCAUUAGCUAGUUGGUAAGGUAACGGCUUACCAAGGCAACGAUGAGUAGCCGACCUGAGAGGGUGAUCGGCCACACUGGAACUGAGACACGUUCCAGACUCCUACGGGAGGCAGCAGUAGGGAAUUUUCCGCAAUGGGCGAAAGCCUGACGGAGCAACGCCGCGUGAGUGAUGAAGGUCUUCGGAUCGUAAAACUCUGUUAUCAGGGAAGAACAACUGUGUAAGUAACUAUGCACGUCUUGACGGUACCUAAUCAGAAAGCCACGGCUAACUACGUG
rnacentral:rRNA from 1 species